CAUAAGGCACAGCUUCUCUCCUUUGAGAAAGAACAAAUAAGAAUGAAGUGUUAUAUUGCAAAGCUAAUUAUAUAUUCUGUUCAAGUGUCAACCAUCUGUUGCAAUUGUUUAAAAAGCAGAUAUAAGUCAACUGUUGGGGUGAGAUGUUUACCAUUGUGAACACACAGAAAGAUUAUGACACCAGUGCAGAUAUGCUGUUCUAGCACGUGCCAGGGGCUGCAGUCUCCCGAAGCCCUCAGAAGCCCGCCUUCCUGUGAGAGGGAUGUGUUUCUGUUUCUCCCCCUGGAAAUAGGCAAGAAGUCCUCCUACUCAAUACAUGUCACUAGUUGGAGCAGUGGGUCAUGGCCAGAAGUGUGUCUUCAGUGGGUUGAAUUGAUUAAUGCAAGUUCCUUGAAGGAGGAAAAAAUCUCUCCACUGAUCAGCUUGUUUUUUCUAAAUCGCAUCCUAUGGCAGCCAAGGUCAACCAGGAAGGAAGAAGAAAAUGUCUGGGCAUGCUUUGCAGAAGACUUGUGUGGCACACUGGAUAUUUCCCAGAAUACCAGGGGAGGUCUUUGAGAGGCCGGCUAAGCUACUGAAAUGGAAAUGAGUCGGGGGGCGGGGGGGGGGGGGGGGGGGGGGGGGGGGGGGGGGGGGGCGGUUUGGAUUGCAUUUAUUGGCAUUGUUAGAAAUUUGAAGAGACAGUGAGACAAAGAGAAAGUAUAUGCAUUUGUAGAAUCACUCUAGAUCUUAAAGUCAGUGUUUGCAUUUACAAAUAUACCUUCCAAUGCUUCUCAACAUAAAAUCAUGUAAUACCAUAACAAUUUUGCAUUCUGCCUUUUGGGCUUACCAUUAUACAAAAAGAAUUGUUCAUGGUUUUCCUGAUUUCAUAAUUACCAUAGUGAAUGACUAAAUUGCUUUCUCUUUUGAAGACAAAUAGUAACUUAUUUAUGGAGUCCUCUAUCUUAGGCGUUUUAGCCGUUUCUAUUUUUCAUUAUUCUAAUUAGUCAUACAAAGUAAAAAUUUAAUGUGUAUAUUAUAUUAUUUAUUUUGCGAUUAUUUUUAGUCUCCUUUCCCAGAAUUUAAUUCAUUGGGUCAAGAUAUUUUUGAUUUUGUAAGCCAAAUUGCUUGCCAAUAAGGUAGACUAUUUUUAAU
rnacentral:lncRNA from 1 species